CCUUCCUUCGAUGGCGCUCCUCGCAUCCCGCCUGCCCGCCGCGCUCGAUUCCUCCUUCCUUCAAUGGCGCAUCCCGCCCGCAGCCACCAAUCAACGCCCGCGGAUCCUCGUCAAUCAACUCCCGCGGAUCCUCCACCCUCCUCCCCACCGCGGCGGAUCCUCCACCCUCCUCGUCAAUCAACGCCUGUGGUCCUCCCCCACGCGGAUCCUCGCACCACCCACUCCCCCGCGUGCGUCCCUGGCCCCUCGAGCUCGCGCAGGCCAGAGGACCGCGCUCGCCCCCCUGAAGAUUACUCCCUCCCCAAGGAGCUGGCGGCGGCGUGACUGUGUCGGGAGAAGGAGGCCGUAGAGGACGCUGCGCGGGGGCUGCGGCAGGAGCUCGACUCCGAGCGGUCCUCCCCGGAGAUGGCAGCCAGAUCUGACCAUUGAGCCCCCUAAUCGAGCGGAUCCAAGAUUUAGGCGGUGGUGACCAAUCUGAACGGCGCACACUCGACAUGGCCAUUGCUAUGGCACUAAGGGAGAGCAAGCCCGUGUACCUCAGCAUCAGUUGCAACCUCCCUGGGCUACCUCAUUCUACCUUUAGUUUUAUGUUCAAGUACAUGAUUAUCGGGAGAAACCAAGAUAUGGUGCUUACACUAUUUUUGUAAAUCCUUUUGUAGCAAUGUCUGUGCGCUGGGCUGAAGGCGGACGCGCUUGCUCAUCAACCGCGUGCGGUCGAGUGCUAGAGCCACCGAUUCACCGUCGAGUGCAUCACCCGCUACAUCGCUGGGCUACAGCAGAAGUAUACACAAAGUGGUGGAGUCCGCUCCCUUUGGCUUCGAACCCGACACCAAUAAGCCAGCGCUGUACCAGACCGAUCCAUCGGGUACCAUCUCUGCUUGGAAGGCCAAUGCCAUGGGAAGGAACUCCAACUCUAUGUGUGAGUUUCUGAAGAACUACAAAGACCUCCGGCAAGGAGACCAUCAAGUUUGCUAUCUGUGCACUUCUAGAGAUUGUGAACUGAACUUAAAUCAUGCAUUCAGUAUUGGUCUCUAGAGAGGAAGCUCUGCCAAGCAUUACUAAGAACUGAUCAGGUAUACUUAUCCAUGGUGGAAAGAAAAGGUGAUUGACUCAGACUUGAAAAGAAAAGAUGGCCUUUGCCCAUUGACGCCUGAGGAGACUACUCUUGUCCUCAGAGCACUUGACAUCGAUAGAAGUAUGCAAAUAUACAUUGCUGCUGGGGAAAUAUACGGUGGAAAGCACAGGAUGGCUUCUCUAACUUCAGCAUACCUAAAUGUUGUAUGUGCACAAAUAUAUUAUGCAUCUAUUGUAGCGUACUUGUUACACAGUACUCUUCCAUCUCUCCUUUUUUUCCUUGUUGAUGCCAAAAUCAAGUUUACAAGUAUGGUUGCCCCUCACCCACAGCCUGUUACAUAUUUUAGUAUCAUUUAUUUAUGGAAAAACGAAUUCUCUUGUUU